rnacentral:lncRNA from 1 species
UUUCCUGAUGCCAGGUCAGUUGCAGGUUUUUCUCCUUCCUGCCAAUUUCAAGUCGGACAGAAUGACUUCACAUAAACACAGCCUGGCUGCCAAGACAGUUUCAAAAUGGCUGCUUCCGAAGUUGCGUCUUUCGAGACAAAUUUCAUCAGCAUAGCGGGCACUUCAGAGGCUGAAACUUCGGUGAGGGAAAAGCUGAAUGUUUAUGUGCUAUUGGCGAGUACAAAAAAAGUAAGCUUUUUGGAGUGACCUCCUUUAAGUUAAUUCUACAAGGAACUGAAGUAAUCGAGUGAAUCAAUGUAUCAUUUCAGCAGCGUUUCACUUGGCUUUUAAUAUUCAUCUUUUCUUCCUGAAGUUUCAUAUUUAGUCCCUCAAACAAUGAUUGCAUGCUAUGCUGUAUGUUCCUCAUUGCAUAAAUGUUUUUGAUGUCUUGUUUUGAGUAUUCUUGCAGAGUUUCUCUCUAAUGUGUAAAACACAGGCCAUGCAACUGUGAAUGUUACAGUGUGUUGAAUUUUGCAAGAAUUGAGCAUCGAGAAUGGAGUCGCACUUCAAGGAAAUUGAGACUCAACUCAAUACUUGAUUCUCAGAAGUAUUGAGUAUCAAGUGUUGACUUAGAUUUGCCUGGUACUGAAUCAUGAUACGUUUUUGACCUGAGAUCCCCUAAUCUGGAACACUGCAUGGCCAGUAAUGAAAACUGAAGUCUGCCAGAUGUAGUUCUGUUGUUCUGCUUCAAAACAAACAACUCUCAACUACGAGUUCAUUUGCUGUAUUAUGAAUAUUUUCCCUUUUUAGGAGGAGUGUUUGGUUUGUAUGGUGGAAGAAUGGAUCCAUUAGUUAGAGGCUGUGUAAUGGGUACAAAUGAAGUUCAUUACUGGGGAGACUUAAAUGAUCCUGUGCCGUGCUGAAUUUCAGAAGUGUUCAAUGUCUUAAUUCUCCUGCUUACAUCAUUGUCAUUGUCAAGUAGAUCACGUCAUCACCUGGAUGACACUGUCUUCAUGUACAAUACAAUCCAAGACAUUUUAAGAAAUAAAUGUUAUGGCAAUGUACAUCACUAAUAAAAAUUUGAUGAUUUGUUUGAUUUGAUAAAGUAUUUUGUGUAUUGUGCACAACUGUCUGUGGUGACCAAUUAAAGGUCAGAAUGUGCAGUUCCAGAAAAUAUCCAUACCCACUCCAUGAAAGGUCACUUGCAAUUGGUAGGGGGGUGGGGGAUUGCAAACAUCAAUAUUUUUAAAGGAAAGGAAGAAGCUAUAAAACUGGAAUUUCCACCAGGGUGGUAGUCUCCUUGGCAGCCGUUUUUGGGAUGUCACGCAUGCAGACAUCCCGAAAAAACAACUGCGGAGGAGACUAUCAGGGUGGGACUGGGGCCUAGGGGGAGGGUGCCAAGUCUUCACAGCGCACAUUUUGUCUUUCCAUGUUGGGGGUGGGAUCCAGGGAGGGGUGGGGUGAGUUGUUGUGGAGGUACUGUAAACAACAUAAUCAACAACUGUCUGUUUUAUUUCAGAUAUCACGUAUAUUUCCUGAUAAUUUUUCCUAAUCAUGGAUAUUGCUAAUCUAUGGUCUGUGAAGGUCGUGAGUGUGACAUUUUGCACGAAACAUGUCACGCUACAGUUAAACAAUUGAAGUUUGCUCGCCUUCCAAUGACAGCAUCGGUCUCCCUCCUUUCAAUGGGCUAUGAACAGGCUCGAAGGUUCUUAGGUGUUACGCCGUGGCCAGGGUAUAGGAGAAAGGCGCGAGCGAAAUGCGGCAAGCGAAAAGAGCUCAUAGCUACAAUUGUAGCAAUAAUCCUUAUCAAUCUUCGACCGACGGCUUCCGUCACAGACUCUACCUACCGCGGGUUACUAGCAAGUAAAUUUACAUCUGUAAUUAACGUAGGUUCAACCUGAGAGCAUUGCGCACAUGCAACGAAGGCUUUUUUCCUGAAAUGUAUGACGCGAGUUCACCUCAAUCCACUUGGUAUGAAUCAAGUUUGUUGAUAGUCUCCUUCGCAGCCGUUAUUAGGGUCGUCACGCAACGCUCCUCNCCCACUAACGGCCGUUAGUGGGGAGGAGCGUUGCGUGACGACCCUAAUAACGGCUGCGAAGGAGACUAGUUUGUUGAAAGAUUACGCCCCAUUACGCCAGACAAAUCUAUUGUUGAUUUGAAUUCCAGUGGUUUUGAUCUCGUGAUAAUACAAUUGUCUCGUUGUAUUCCAGUUUCCGCAUGGGUGCUGUCGAUCUCGUGAUCAAUCGAUUUCGAUCUCAUGAUCAAUCGUCGCAAAUACCCUCGGUACGGGGAGCGGCUGUCAGUGUACUAUUGUAGCAAUGCUAAAAGGGAUUCCUGAAGGUUCCUAACUGCUUACGAGCUGGAAAAGUUAUGAAGAAUCAUUCUUGCUACUGACAACCCGGACACAUCGCUUUUUGAGGAUCACAGCUGUAUCUUUUUGGCGUCUGUGAUCGAAAGGAAUCAUUUUCAACUGAGGGGAAGUUUUCCGUUCAGCUGAAAGAAACACAUCGCCUCUUGAGAAUCUCAGCUGUAUCUUUUUGUUGACUGCGAUCGAGGGGAAACAUUUUCAACUGAAGGAAAGUUUUCCGUUUCAGCUGAAAGAAACACAUCGCGUUUUGAGGAUCACAGCUGUAUCUUCUUGCUGACUGCGAUCGAGGGGAAACAUUUUCAACUGAAGGAAAGUUUUCCGUUCAGCAAAAAGGUAAGCAAGAGGAACGCUUGUAAAACGAAAUUCUGAAACGUUAGCACAUUUAUUGGCAUCGCUAACUAAAAUAAGGGAAAGGUUAUUAGUUACCGGAAUUAUUGUUGGUAAAUUAAUUUCAUUUUGACUCAACAGUCAUCUAUUAACAACAUCGACACGAGCUAGACGGGGACAAAAAUCUUAAAGCGGAGAGACACGGUAACAGCGGUAGAAACGGUAGAAAUUAUUGGAAUACUAUUUAAACAAAGCGGAAAUUCUACUAAACUGUUUGUCGAAGGAUCCAUGGACCUGUUGAUUUGGUUUGUAAAGGUUCCUUUAGGUUUGGGGAGAGGGAAAUCCAAAUCCGGAUCUUAGAAUCCUGAAAGAAAUUUUGCUUUUGCUCUCUAGAAUCCAUGAAUGGAUUAUGAAUCAAAAGAAUCCACACUGCAAGUGGAUCUAUGUUCACGACUUACGAAAACGUAUAAGCUUAAUGGUUCCCGAUAAGUCAUUGUUGUGAAGGUUCACGUUCACAUUGCUUCAGGAUACUAUUGUGUGUUAUGAUGUGGUAGUUUGCAUUUUCUUUUUAUCCUUUCUUGACACCGCGACACCGCAAAAAUAAUUCGGCAAGUAGCGCAAUAUCCCAAAAAAAUCGCCAAAUACCGCAAUACUUCAAUACCCAGUAGAAACUCGGUCUCCUACCUAAACCACUACUUUGUAUGUUAAGUUUAGAGCAAAUAUAGCAAUUAAGAAUUGGAGUUUUCUGUUACACGAGAGCUAAGUUUCAUUGGGAAUCUCCAAUCGGAAACUGCGAAAGGCUCUGAAAACGCUAUAGGACUUGAAAGAUAAUUUUUAAUACCGUCCAUAAUGCGAUAGAAAACGUAUCCCGCAGGUUCGGAGAAUACCGCAAUAAAUUUACCGCAUUUCAAGAUUAAAAUUACCGAAAUACUGCAAGAUAAAAUGUCCACCACCGCAACCUUUUAUGGUCAAAUGAAGCAUAUAUAGUCGGGUAAUAAAUCUGAUUAUCCUGUCUCAAGUGCAAAUGUUCUAAAAUAAGUUUGUUAACCGCGCGGCCAUGGGCCGAGCGCGGUUCAUGUUCUACCCUUGGUUUAUUAUUUUUUUAAA